AAAGUUGAUGAAUUAUGCUAUCAUGUAUGUUUACUGUUUUGAACUUUGAAGAAUUAUUAGAGUGAAGAGAAUUAAAAAUUCUGUAAAAAGUAACGAAAGAGGAAGAAAUAAUGGCAGAACUAAAAUUGGUUAUAUACGAGAACGAUAAAAUAAUUGGUACAAUUCAAAAAGAAACCAUUACAAAUUCACAGAACUUAAUAAAAUCAUUGGAGGAAUUUAGAAAUUUGGUUAAUGAGAAGUUUACAAUGAUAAUUGAGGAUGAUGGCCAUAUAGAUGACUUAAUUGAAGAGGAUGUCGGCAGUAGUGAUGGUGAAAUUGACACAAAUCAGCACACUAGUCCUAAGAAGAGAAAAAUGUGAUGCAAAAUAUUAAAGUGAAACAUAAAAAUGUGUAAAUUAAAAAUACUGAUUUUAUGUAUAUUUAUUUAUUUAUCUAAAAGAACCUCUGUACAUAUUCAAAAAUCAUAAGUUAAUUACAUACUGAUCAAAUGA